AUUCUGGCUCAGGAUGAACGCUGGCGGCGUGCUUAACACAUGCAAGUCGAACGGGAUCCAUCAGGCUUUGCUUGGUGGUGAGAGUGGCGAACGGGUGAGUAAUGCGUGACCGACCUGCCCCAUACACCGGAAUAGCUCCUGGAAACGGGUGGUAAUGCCGGAUGCUCCGACUCCUCGCAUGGGGUGUCGGGAAAGAUUUCAUCGGUAUGGGAUGGGGUCGCGUCCUAUCAGGUAGUCGGCGGGGUAACGGCCCACCGAGCCUACGACGGGUAGCCGGCCUGAGAGGGCGACCGGCCACAUUGGGACUGAGAUACGGCCCAGACUCCUACGGGAGGCAGCAGUGGGGAAUAUUGCACAAUGGGCGCAAGCCUGAUGCAGCGACGCCGCGUGCGGGAUGACGGCCUUCGGGUUGUAAACCGCUUUUGAUCGGGAGCAAGCCUUCGGGUGAGUGUACCUUUCGAAUAAGCACCGGCUAACUACGUGCCAGCAGCCGCGGUAAUACGUAGGGUGCAAGCGUUAUCCGGAAUUAUUGGGCGUAAAGGGCUCGUAGGCGGUUCGUCGCGUCCGGUGUGAAAGUCCAUCGCUUAACGGUGGAUCUGCGCCGGGUACGGGCGGGCUGGAGUGCGGUAGGGGAGACUGGAAUUCCCGGUGUAACGGUGGAAUGUGUAGAUAUCGGGAAGAACACCAAUGGCGAAGGCAGGUCUCUGGGCCGUUACUGACGCUGAGGAGCGAAAGCGUGGGGAGCGAACAGGAUUAGAUACCCUGGUAGUCCACGCCGUAAACGGUGGAUGCUGGAUGUGGGGCCCGUUCCACGGGUUCCGUGUCGGAGCUAACGCGUUAAGCAUCCCGCCUGGGGAGUACGGCCGCAAGGCUAAAACUCAAAGAAAUUGACGGGGGCCCGCACAAGCGGCGGAGCAUGCGGAUUAAUUCGAUGCAACGCGAAGAACCUUACCUGGGCUUGACAUGUUCCCGACAGCCGUAGAGAUAUGGCCUCCCUUCGGGGCGGGUUCACAGGUGGUGCAUGGUCGUCGUCAGCUCGUGUCGUGAGAUGUUGGGUUAAGUCCCGCAACGAGCGCAACCCUCGCCCUGUGUUGCCAGCACGUCAUGGUGGGAACUCACGGGGGACCGCCGGGGUCAACUCGGAGGAAGGUGGGGAUGACGUCAGAUCAUCAUGCCCCUUACGUCCAGGGCUUCACGCAUGCUACAAUGGCCGGUACAACGGGAUGCGAC
rnacentral:rRNA from 1 species